rnacentral:rRNA from 1 species
GAUGAACGCUGGCGGCGUGCUUAACACAUGCAAGUCGAACGGAAAGGCCCAAGUUUGCUUGGGUACUCGAGUGGCGAACGGGUGAGUAACACGUGAGUGAUCUGCCCUUCACUUCGGGAUAACCCCGGGAAACUGGGGCUAAUACCGGAUAGGACCACUUCCUGGAUGGUGUGGGGGAAAGAGUUUUCGGUGUGGGGUGAGGUCGCGGCCUAUCAGCGUGUUUGGGGGGGGAUGGCCUACCAAGGGGUCGGCGGGUAGCCGGCCUGGGAGGGGGUACGGGCAACUUGGGGCUGAGGUGAGGCCCAGACUCCCAAGGGGGGGAGGCGUGGGGAAUAUUGCCCCAUGGGCGGGAGGCUGAUGGCGGGACGCCGCGUGGGGGAUGACGGCCUUCCGGUUGUAAACUCCUUUCGGUAGGGACGGAGCGUUUUGUGACGGUACCUGGUGAAGAAGCACCGGCUAACUACGUG